rnacentral:lncRNA from 1 species
GACAUGCAUGUAACAGCUAGAUAUAUCAUGAUAUUAAUCAUUCAUAUUAGACAAAAAGAUUUAACCUCAUCCUUGGAGUUCAAACAUCCUAAUUGCAUACCUAUCUUAAGAAAUUGAAGAACACACAUUUGUGCUCGACAUGCAAUAGAGAUUACCUCGAGCACCGUGUUUGCAGCUAUUGCAACUUUCAAAUGCAAAAAGCAAAUGCAACUCUAACAUGUUAGUUCAGUUUCCAGUC